CUUUUAUUUUCAGGAUUCCAAUUUGAACUUUAGAGAUUUCUAAUUUUAUCAUUUUUUAUGUUUUCUUUUAGUUGGUUGCUUAAUUCAUUCAUCUGCUCUUUCUCUAUUUUAUGGAUGUAUAUAUUUAGAGAUACCAAUUUUCCAAAGUGUAGUUGUGGCUACAUCCAGUAAUUUUUUGCUCCUGGUAAUCUCUGACAGGGGAGAUAAUAACAAUCAGAUGUCAGCAUUCCAGAGAACAAGGACUUUCAACUUACUGAGAGAGAACCUGCCAUUCGAUCACAAAUAAGAAACAAAACUGCUGUUGUGGUUGGAGUUUUGUAAGUUGGAAGCCAUAGUAAAUGUUCUGAUUCGGGCUUUGGGAGGCUUUCUGUGUCUUUGUAAAGGCAGCGUGCUGUUUGGAGCUUCCAGCAACCCA
rnacentral:lncRNA from 1 species